rnacentral:lncRNA from 11 species
GUGCCUACUAUGAAUAUUAAAAUGAAAAAAGGAGAAAAAUGCUGUAUUAGGAGAUGAAAUAGUAAUAGAAGUACAGAGACCUACCCAUGGGUGCUAGAAAGUAAGCAAAAAAGGAAGUAUUAUUUACAGGCCCGGUGCAACGUGGACGCCGUUGAAGCGGCGGCGUCGGGCGCACGUCAGGGGGGGCGCUGUCGAUGCCUCUACGGCGCCCCUCUGUACAUUUACCAAGGGAGGCAGCGGCGGGGACCAUCGCCUCCCUCCUCGGCGAAGAGCUAGGCCUGAAAUGAGGCCUUCGCGGAGGAGGGAGGCAAUGGUCCCUGCCGCCGCUGCCGCCUCUCUCCUCGGCGAACGCGGAAGACCUAUCUGGCUAGCUAUUCUCGCGAGGUGGGCCAAAGGCCCGGCCUAGGGACACCCGGUUUCCUUAAUCCCCGGGCCGAGACCCUCCUCAGCAGCACGCUGGAGGUGACCUGCCAGGGCUGGCUGCGCGAUCUGCAGCUCCAGUGCGCUGCGCCGCCGCCCCCACGUGAGGGAAGGAGGAGCAGAAACAAAGCUCAAAGCCACAACUCAUUUUGGUUCUGCACCUUUUCCAGCACUUUAAAAAAAGAUGGGGAACCU